rnacentral:rRNA from 1 species
CAAUAGCGUAUAUUUAAGUUGUUGCAGUUAAAAAGCUCGUAGUUGGAUUUCGGGUGGGAACGACCGGUCCGCCGUUCUGGUGUGUACUGGUCGGUCCCAUCUUGCUGUCGGGGACGCGCUCCUGGCCUUAACUGGCUGGGACGUGGAGUCGGCGAUGUUACUUUGAAAAAAUUAGAGUGUUCAAAGCAGGCCUACGCUCUGAAUACAUUAGCAUGGAAUAACGCGAUAGGACUCUGGUCCUAUUGUGUUGGUCUUCGGGACCGGAGUAAUGAUUAAGAGGGACAGUUGGGGGCAUUCGUAUUUCAUUGUCAGAGGUAAAAUUCUUGGAUUUAUGAAAGACGAACUUCUGCGAAAGCAUUUGCCAAGGAUGUUUUCAUUAA